ACAGCAGCAGCCGCGGGAAUACGAAGGGUGCAAGCGUUAAUCGGAAUUACUGGGCGUAAAGCGUGCGUAGGCGGUGAGUUAAGUCUGCUGUGAAAUCCCCGGGCUCAACCUGGGAAUGGCAGUGGAUACUGGCUCGCUAGAGUGUGUCAGAGGAUGGUGGAAUUCCCGGUGUAGCGGUGAAAUGUGUAGAGAUCGGGAGGAACAUCAGUGGCGAAGGCGGCCAUCUGGGACAACACUGACGCUGAGGCACGAAAGCGUGGGGAGCAAACAGGAUUAGAUACCCGAGUAGUCCCUGUCUCUUAUAU
rnacentral:rRNA from 1 species